rnacentral:rRNA from 1 species
AUGACAACCCAUGGCGAGGUUUUUAAGAUGAAACUACUCAUGUACCUCAUCUCAGUUGUUUUCGCACCGACCACUUCUCUUCGCCCAAGCAACAAAUGCUUCCCCAUCCUGGCGAAACUGAAAGAUGUGAAGAACAUGAAUUGGUGUAAGUUCAUUGCCGACUUCCUGCAUGAUGCAUUCUCAAGCAAGAUGUACCAGAAGGGUUGUCGACUGCAUUUAAUGCUCAUGUACGUCGACUGUCUUGAUCUGUCCACCGUGGAUUUCACUGGGACAGGAGGCCCGCCGCCUACGCACAAGUUUGAUGUUUCUAUGUGGACUAUUGAUGCUGUCAAGGCUGUGCUUGCUGCAGAUAGGGUAACUGAUACCAAAUAUGGAAAACUGCAGUUGAUGGCCAAGCAUGCUAUAGACUACAAUGUGUUUGGGGGCCUCAAAACUUUGGAAAGUGGAUGGACGUGCACUCAGCUUCGUCUUGCCCUAACGAGCGAGGGAACCUGUUGA